rnacentral:rRNA from 1 species
GGAAUCUUGCACAAUGGGCGAAAGCCUGAUGCAGCGACGCCGCGUGGGGGAUGAAGGCCUUAGGGUCGUAAACCCCUUUCAGCAGGGACGAAAAUGACGGUACCUGCAGAAGAAGCCCCGGCCAACUACGUGCCAGCAGCCGCGGUAAGACGUAGGGGGCGAGCGUUGUCCGGAUUUAUUGGGCGUAAAGAGCUCGUAGGCGGUUGCGUAAGUCGGAUGUGAAAACUCAGGGCUCAACCCUGAGACGCCAUCCGAUACUGCGCUGACUUGAAUCCAGUAGGGGAGUGUGGAAUUCCUGGUGUAGCGGUGAAAUGCGCAGAUAUCAGGAGGAACACCCAUGGCGAAGGCAGCACUCUGGGCUGGUAUUGACGCUGAGGAGCGAAAGCAUGGGUAGCGAACAGGAUUAGAUACCCUGGUAGUCCCUGAGCGGGCUGGCAAGGCGCAU